CACGUAGGGCGCGAGCGUUGUCCGGAAUUAUUUGGCGUAAAGAGCUCGUAGGCGGCCUGUUGCGUCCGCUGUGAAAGCCCGGGGCUUAACCCCGGGUCGGCAGUGGAUACGGGCAGGCUAGAGGUAGGUAGGGGAGAAUGGAAUUCCCGGUGUAGCGGUGAAAUGCGCAGAUAUCGGGAGGAACACCGGUGGCGAAGGCGGUUCUCUGGGCCUUACCUGACGCUGAGGAGCGAAAGCGUGGGGAGCGAACAGG
rnacentral:rRNA from 1 species